ACGAACGCUGGCGGCGCGCCUAACACAUGCAAGUCGAACGGAGCUUAGAGAGCUUGCUUUUUAAGCUUAGUGGCGAACGGGUGAGUAACGCGUGAGUAACCUGCCCUAGAGUGGGGGACAACAGUUGGAAACGACUGCUAAUACCGCAUAAGCCCACGGUACCGCAUGGCACUGAGGGAAAAGGAUUUAUUCGCUUUAGGAUGGACUCGCGUCCAAUUAGCUAGUUGGUGAGGUAACGGCCCACCAAGGCGACGAUUGGUAGCCGGACUGAGAGGUUGAACGGCCACAUUGGGACUGAGACACGGCCCAGACUCCUACGGGAGGCAGCAGUGGGGGAUAUUGCACAAUGGGGGAAACCCUGAUGCAGCGACGCCGCGUGGAGGAAGAAGGUUUUCGGAUUGUAAACUCCUGUCGUUAGGGACGAUAAUGACGGUACCUAACAAGAAAGCACCGGCUAACUACGUGCCAGCAGCCGCGGUAAAACGUAGGGUGCAAGCGUUGUCCGGAAUUACUGGGUGUAAAGGGAGCGCAGGCGGGAAGACAAGUUGGAAGUGAAAACCAUGGGCUCAACCCAUGAAUUGCUUUCAAAACUGUUUUUCUUGAGUAGUGCAGAGGUAGAUGGAAUUCCCGGUGUAGCGGUGGAAUGCGUAGAUAUCGGGAGGAACACCAGUGGCGAAGGCGGUCUACUGGGCACCAACUGACGCUGAGGCUCGAAAGCAUGGGUAGCAAACAGGAUUAGAUACCCUGGUAGUCCAUGCCGUAAACGAUGAUUACUAGGUGUUGGGGGAUUGACCCCCUCAGUGCCGCAGUUAACACAAUAAGUAAUCCACCUGGGGAGUACGACCGCAAGGUUGAAACUCAAAGGAAUUGACGGGGGCCCGCACAAGCAGUGGAGUAUGUGGUUUAAUUCGAAGCAACGCGAAGAACCUUACCAGGGCUUGACAUAUACAGGAAUACUUAAGAGAUUAAGUAGCUCUUCGGAGCUUGUAUACAGGUGGUGCAUGGUUGUCGUCAGCUCGUGUCGUGAGAUGUUGGGUUAAGUCCCGCAACGAGCGCAACCCCUGUUGUUAGUUGCCAGCAAGUAAAGUUGGGAACUCUAACGAGACUGCCGGUGAUAAAUCGGAGGAAGGUGGGGACGACGUCAAAUCAUCAUGCUCUUUAUGUCCUGGGCUACACACGUACUACAAUGGCAAGUACAGAGGGAAGCGAAACCGCGAGGUUGAGCAAAACCCAAAAAGUUGUCUCAGUUCAGAUUGCAGUCUGAAAUUCGACUGUAUGAAGAUGGAAUUGCUAGUAAUUGCAGGUCAGCAUACUGCAGUGAAUACGUUCUCGGGCCUUGUACACACCGCCCGUCACGCCAUGAGAGUCGAAAACACCCGAAGCCUGUGAGCCAACCGCAAGGGGGCAGCAGUCGAAGGUGGGUUUGGCGAUUGGGGUG
rnacentral:rRNA from 1 species